rnacentral:rRNA from 1 species
CAGUGUUAACGGCCGCGGUACCCUAACCGUGCGAAGGUAGCAUAAUCACUUGUUUCUUAAAUAGAGACUAGUAUCAACGGCAUCACGAAGACUAUACUGUCUCCCCCCUAAAAUCAAUGAAACUGAUCUCCUCGUGAAGAAGCGAGGAUAUAUAUAUAAGACGAGAAGACCCCAUGGAGCUUUAAACGAACUUCAAUUGUUCCUACCCAUAACAUACAAAUUGAACACCCCUGAUAGUUAGUUUUAGGUUGGGGUGACCGCGGAGUAAAACAAAACCUCCACAAUGAAUGAAAUAAAAUUCUUAUAAAAGAACCACAAUUCUAAUAAUCAAAAAUUUGACAUAAAUUGACCCAAACACUUGAUCAAUGAACCAAGUUACCCUGGGGAUAACAGCGCAAUCCAUUUUAAGAGCCCAUAUCGACAAAUGGGUUUACGACCUCGAUGUUG